rnacentral:tRNA from 1 species
GACUGGAUAGCCUAGCGGUUAAGGCAUCACAUACGAGUUGUGUCCCAGUUAAGGGUCCUUGGUUUGAAUCCAAGUCUAGUCA